rnacentral:rRNA from 1 species
UACGAAGGGGGCUAGCGUUGCUCGGAAUCACUGGGCGUAAAGGGCGCGUAGGCGGAUCUUUAAGUCGGGGGUGAAAGCCCAGGGCUCAACCCUGGAAUUGCCUUCGAUACUGGAGAUCUUGAGACCGGAAGAGGUAAGUGGAACUGCGAGUGUAGAGGUGAAAUUCGUAGAUAUUCGCAAGAACACCAGUGGCGAAGGCGGCUUACUGGUCCGGUUCUGACGCUGAGG